rnacentral:lncRNA from 1 species
CUAGAAGGACUGCUUCAUACCUUGAUCUUUUCCUCAAUAUUGACGUAGAUGGACGACUUCACACGAAAAUCUAUGAUAAACGGGACGAUUUCAACUUCCCAAUUAUCAAUUUCCCAUUUCUUAGCAGUAACAUACCCUCUGCCCCUUCGUAUGGUGUUUACAUAUCACAAUUGAUACGUUAUUCUCGUGCUUGUUCACACUAUACGGAC